rnacentral:tRNA from 1 species
GGCGGGAUGCGAGAGCGGUUUAUUCGGAUGGUCUUGAAAACCAUUGUAUCCGCAAGGGUACCGCAGGUUCGAAUCCUGCUCCCGCCG